UCUCUCUCCCCACAACUCCCAGUUCUCUACUCAUUUCUAUACUCUAAGGAUUUGCUGCCUCCUACUAACCACAUUGCCAGGACUCCCUUGCCAUCUGGCUUCUAGUUGAUUUUAGCAGCAGAUCAGAAGGUGGGAAGAGAGAGGGAACAAAAUGAUUCUGCCCUUGCUCACUGCUUCUGUACCAUAUACUGGGAAGCAAACUGGGAGGCCCAACUUCCUUGGCUUCAGCUUUUCAUAGAGCUCUGGGUAAUACCGUUUUCACUCCAUAUCCCUUAGGUUCUAGGGCAAGUAAUGGCUUUUUACUCUUGCUACUCUCUGGGUGCCUCAACAUCCAUUGUUUGCUCUUUAAUCUCACAACUUCUGAAUAUAAACUGCAUGGUAUCAGGAACCUUAUCUGUCUUUUUCAUGGCAGCAGUCCCAGUUCCUAGAAGAAUGCCUGCUGGUUCACAGAAAUUUCUGGAAGCUGAGCUCCAUCAAUAGAAAGGCUUAACCAAAGAAUGAAGGAGAUUCAGGAAAUGAAACUCCAACCAGGAGACUGGUGAAAGCAACCCCCAGGAUGAAAAUUAUGCAGCACCUAGGACUGGAGAGGAAGACAGAAAACUCAGGAGUGAUGUAUCCAUGAAUUUGAUAUAUUUUCUCAUGUGUUUUAAUGCUCCAAGAAUGUGUGGAUAAAUUGCAGAAAGAAGCAGUGUGUUUAAGAGAGCUAAAUCCUAAUAUUCACAGGACAAAGUCAACACAUAAUAUCUAAAACUGAAAAAAUAAAAAAAGUGUCAGCUGGGCGCAGUGGCUCACGCCCGUAAUCCCAACACUUUGGGAGGCCGAGGUGGGCGGAUCACGAGGUCAGGAGAUGGAGACCAUCCUGGCUAACACGGUGAAACCCCAUCUCUACUAAAAAGACAAAAAAUUAGCCGAGUGUGGUGGCGGGCGCCUGCAGUCCCAGCUACUCGGGAGGCUGAGGCAGGAGAAUGGCGUGAACCCUGGAGGUGGAGCUUGCAGUGAGCUGAGAUCUUGCCAAUGCACUCUAGCCUGGGCGACAGAGCGAGACUCCAUCUCAAAAAAAAAAAAAAGUGUCAACAUAAUUAGGAAAUAAGAGGAAAAUACACAAAGGAAAAGUGAAAGAGGUAAAAGUAGUUACCAUUGGGGAGCAAAAACCGUGGGGCAGGAAUCAUUCUUUAAUAAGUUUUACAAAAAUAUCUCAUUUAAAAUCGUGUAUACAUUUGAUUAAAAUAAAAAUUAUUACUAUUUUAGGAAAUUAUGAAUGGAUAUUUCUGCUAAAAUAUGGAGGUUUGCACCCAUGUCUUUUCCCCUUCUCGGUCCUACUGGUUACAGCAAAUAAACUUAAAAGGACAAAGAGAAUGAAAGAAGAAACAAGAGCUAGGGAGAAGUUUAUACUGUUAGUGAUAGAGAACCUUUGUUUAGAAAAAGACUACAAAAUUAGGUAUGAAAGUAAAUAUAGUUAGAAUAAGAAAAGAUAUCACAACAAAUUACUAAUUUAAAAAAGUGGCCGGGUGCGGUGGCUCAUGCCUGUAAUCCCAACACUUUGGGAGGCUGAGGCGGGCGAAUCACGAGGUCAGGAGUUCAAGACCAGCCUGGCCAAUAUGGUGAAACCCCGUCUCCACUAAAAAUACAAAGAUUAGCUGGGCAUGGUGGUGUGCGCCUGUAGUCCCAGCUACUCGGGAGGCUGAGGCAGACGAAUCGCUUGAACCUGGGUAGGCGGAGGUUGCAGUGAGCUGAGAUCGUGCCACUGCAUUCCAGCCUGGGUGACAGAGUGAGACUCCAUCUCAAAAAAAAAAAAAAAAAAAAAAAAAGUGAACAAACAUCAUGAAUCAUACAAAUAACAAUAUUUUAAUUAACUAACUGCCUUAAACAUUUUAUGACUUUUUUUCCUUACAUCCUUGGCU
rnacentral:lncRNA from 1 species